UGUUACUAUUUUUUACCUACCAGCUGGGAUCUUAGAACUGUGGCUGCUGGUUUUAGUUGAAUGUAUACAAAUGAUGUUCCUGGGAAACUUAAGGAUAGUUUCCUCCAUAGCUAAUCAAAUCUAGAAGAGGAAAGCUUCAACCAUUUGGAGUUGAAUGUACAAGAGCCUAGAAAAGAAGAUUUGCACCUACUGAUACCUCGAAUAUCAAGACUCCAGACCAUUGGAUUACCAUAUUCAUCUUAUUAGAGUACUAUUACUUAGAAAGCUUACAUAGUUCCAUAUUAAAUGGUGAUAGUUAGGUAAUUAUUUGGUAAAUAUUGGAGAAAGUGUAAUAUACAGUUGAAAUGUUAUUGUCAAGAUUUGAUGUGAAGCAACGAUAUACUUUAUACAAAUAAAAAGGUACAUUGAAGUGCUAAUUUUAGCAGAUGGAGUAAAGACAUUGUUUCUCUCACUCUCUGUCCUCUAAUGAGAGAGAGAGAGAGAGAGAGUGAGUUUAUUCCCCUCAGCAACCCAGUAGUAGUAAAGUAUCACAAAACUUUUCUGAAAUGAAAUGUUCAUGGUAGAACUAAUCUGAAACUGUAUAAAAUAUCAGUGAGUUUUAGGUUCUAAUUAUGUAAAGCUGCCUCAGAAUCUUUCACAAACAAUUUGCAGUUAUUUUAAUCUUUAUAUCAGGGGGUUGUAAAAUUAGUGGGGAGUGCUAAUGUUCAAGUUGGUAUUGAAUUUUUUAGAGAUUAGUUCCUGGCAGUGUAGGGUAAAAAUUUAUCAUAAAUGAGGACUUAGGUACCACAUCUCUUGCAAUGUCAUAUUAAGUGUUCUGUAACUCAUCAGGAAGUUAAAGGAAAGUUUUAAGAUAUUCAUCCAUAAUUAGGGUAACUUGAUGAAGGAUUUGUUUACUUGAAAGGUGUUAAUUCGGGGGUUCUCAAAUUUCAUAAUUAUCCGAUUUGUUCCACUAAAAAAUUAGUCCACUUUAAAA